AAAUAUUUCACUCGCAACGAGUCUUCGUGGCUCGCCUAUUGUUGCUACUAAUUUGCACUUAAAUUCCCUGCAAUGUGAAAAGUCAAUCUUGCAGCAAGUGUCGAUGGCUUUGAUUCCGUUGAAUUAAUUUUCUUCGAAUGUAAAAUGCAUGGUAAUCGAUGUCUGAAAAUUGAUAUAAUUGUAAAAUAAUUGCUACAAUCAAUAAUUCAGUUGGCACAGCUUAAGGUAAGUUAAUCCCAUGUCUAGCUCUUUUAGCUUCCUGGAAUCAAUGCACAAUGGUUGUUGGCUGAUGGAAUAUUGAUAUUAUAGUUAAGCUUUAGCUUGCAGAGGGCGCCACCUUAAUCGUUAUCGCUUUGCCAUCGAACCAAACCUCUGUUGGCCCAUUGAAUGACCCGCCCAACUCUGACGUUUGCUGCUGUUUCAGUUGAUGUUGCUGCUGCCUGUUUCCCUGAGGUGAUUUUGCAAGAUUUGUCUGACGUGACGACUGCUGGGAGAAGUGCUCGAGAAACUAAUUUCUUCAAAUCAAAUGUUGAGCAAAAAGUAAAAGUGUAUUGCAAUCAAUGCUUAUGCAAGUAAUGGCUCUGAUAAAUGUACUUGCUAUUUCGAAUUGCAAAAAAUUCAAAAUUUAUACACAAUUUUGUUAAGCAUAGAAUUUCAUUUCAAUAC